rnacentral:rRNA from 1 species
UGGGGAAUCUUGCACAAUGGAGGAAACUCUGAUGCAGCGACGCCGCGUGAGCGAAGAAGCCUUUCGGGGUGUAAAGCUCUUACGCCAGGGACGAUAAUGACGGUACCUGGAGAAGAAGCUGCGGCUAACUACGUGCCAGCAGCCGCGGUAAUACGUAGGCAGCAAGCGUUGUUCGGAGUUACUGGGCGUAAAGAGUGCGUAGGCGGUUUUCUAAGUUCGGUGUGAAAUCUCCCGGCUUAACUGGGAGGGUGCGCCGAAGACUGGGAAGCUGGAGUGUGGGAAAGGCAGGCGGAAUUCCUGGUGUAGCGGUGAAAUGCGUAGAUAUCAGGAGGAACACCGGCGGUGUAGACGGCUUGCUAAACCAUAACUGACGCUGAGGCACGAAAGCGUGGGUAGCAAACA